rfam:Halobacillus sp. BBL2006 cont255, whole genome shotgun sequence.
CCAAUCCUGAUGUGUACGUUGUUUGAAUGUACGUUUUGACCGAACAUUUUUGAGAAGGGAGCCUGGUGUUUUCACAUGGAAUGCAAGCCUCUUAACCAUCACUGAUGGGAGGACGCAAGAAGUGUGAAACAGGGCACCCACCUGCCUGGAGCGGGUUCAAAACUCAUUAAACACAACGGCACGAUUGGGAUUGGU